AACAAAACAGGGUUGAACUCAGCGCCUUUGCGGCACACUUCAAAGAUGAUGUUUGUUCAGACAUUUGGGCGUCGCUGCAAUGGCGGGCACCGGGAGGUGUUCUUCUCGUUCUUCAUCUCCAGAUCUCCCUACUCGACAACUGCAGCCGAGACUUCGACGGCUUUCUUGCCGGAGUAUCUCGCAGGCACGCUCGGAUUCUCCCGAGAAGAAUCGAUCUCUGCAGCCGCCAAGGUAACCUGCUAUACAUCCACAACAAAGCCGGCUUUAGUUGUAGAUUAUCUGAAAAAAUUGGGUCUUGAUUCGACCCAGAUACGGAAAUGCAUUUCCAAAUACCCCAAAUUGCUAUACUUCGACGUUGACAAAAACCUAGACCCCAAACUCCAGUGUCUUCAGGAGGUCGGGUUCUCCGGCUCGGAUCUCGCCGAUGUAAUUGCGAGAGGCGCGCAAUUUCUUGAGAGGGGAUUGGAUACCAAUCUCAAACCAAAUAUGGCUUUUCUUAAACUAGUAUUUGGUAAUAAUGAGGAUGUGCGCAAGGUAAUAAAGAAUUAUCCUGCGAUGCUUCGUACUAGCUGUCAGAUUAUGCAGGAUAAUGUUUCCUAUUUUCAGAAGCUUGGCUUUUCUAAUGAGAGGAUUAAGUGGUAUAUAUCUAGGAAACCAAUGGCUUUGAGGUUUCCUCUUCAAUGGUUUGAGGAGAGGGUGCAUAUGCUGGAAAAGGAUUUUGGGAUUCCUCGUGAAUCGCCUAUGUUCUUCUAUGGAAUGUAUGCAAUGGCUUCAGCAAGCAAAUCGUCAAUGGAGAAAAAAUUUGCAGUUUUUAGGAGUUUUGGAUGGGCUGACUCGGAUAUAAUUACUAUGUUUCAGCACCAACCUUUUUACUUCACGCUCUCUGAGGCCAAUAUACAGAAGAAACUAGAUUAUUUCAUGAACAAAAUAGGUUACACACCGGAUUUUUUGUCCACUCGUUCUGCUCUUACCUAUAGUUUGGAGAAAAGAGUAUUGCCAAGGGUUGACGUCUUGAACACUUUGAAGGAGAAGAAGCUGUCCGUGAAAAAUCAUUGUCUUUAUAGCAUUAUAUGCUUCACAGAAGCCAAGUUUGAAAAGCUGUUUCUGCUGCCCUAUAAAGAUGUGGUGCCUGAGCUAUAUGGAUCAUACAAGAGAAGGGUGGUUCGAUAGUAAACUUUGGGCGACUUUCUUUCCAAUGAGGGCAGCUGCACUGUUUUAAAAGUAAUGCAAUUGCCUCCUCUGCAUCGUAAUUGAGAGUGUAACUGGAGUGGACAAAAAAUCCGUGUUUGGAGAAAAGAGUAGCCAAGGCGUAGAGUGUAGAGCUAUCUGAAGGAAAAAGAUAAUUGCCUUUGCAACUUGUCGGUGCUUACAAAAUCAAAGUUUGAAGACAUGUUUUUGCUUUGGUCAAGGAUAUCUUGCGUUAUAUCUUCCCCGUGAAUCACACAAGAAGAGAGUGAGAAGUGUAGUACCUCUCAUGGAACUUUGUUUUGCUUGGGGUGGGUGGGAUAAAGUCUUUGUUCUUCCUUCUGAAGAUAUUUGAAUCAUCAUUUAUAUUUUUUGUUUGCCGAAAGUGAACUAACUUAUUGUAAGAAAAUUGAGGUGGGAGGUGAGAGGCACCAUGAUUUCAAAGUCAUUGCUUUCUUAAUGUGCAAUAAGAAAUCUUUAGUAGUUACAAGCUAGCUUCAAUGUUGAUCCUGAUUUACUU